GGGGGCGUACUGGUUUCGACCUGGAGAGUGCGCCUGACACGGCAUGCCGAGGACGAUGCGUUGGCCUCGUUAAUCAUCGCAUCAAAACAAAACUGCCAACGAAGAAUUGGCUCUCGCGGCCUAAUUGAUGCCGCGACGUUCGCCGGCUGACGCCUGCUAGGCCGGAGGAACGCCACAGCAGGCUGGGUGCACUGGCGCCGCCUACAGGCCGGUGGACCGAGAUUCUUCACUGUGGGCUGGGUUGCUGGGUCGGCGUCGGAAGCGUGCCCAGUAGCCGAGACCAACUUCCGACUAAGCAUGUAGUCGUGGCAGGCUAACUCGCCAUGGGACGCGGGUUCGAUUCCCGCCGCCUCCACCA
rnacentral:tmRNA from 1 species